rnacentral:rRNA from 1 species
CAACCGCAUAUGGGCAGGUUACCUACGUGUUACUCACCCGUCCGCCACUCGUUGGCGACCAAAAUCUAUCAGGUGCAAGCACCAUCAAUCAAUUGGGCCAACGCGUUCGACUUGCAUGUAUUAGGCACACCGCCGGCGUUCAUCCUGAGCCAUGAUAAAAACUCA